AUUGAACGCUGGCGGCAUGCUUUACACAUGCAAGUCGAACGGUAACAGGCCGCAAGGUGCUGACGAGUGGCGAACGGGUGAGUAAUGCAUCGGAACGUGCCCAGUCGUGGGGGGUAACGCAGCGAAAGCUGCGCUAAUACCGCAUACGAUCUAUGGAUGAAAGCGGGGGACCGUAAGGCCUCGCGCGAUUGGAGCGGCCGAUGUCAGAUUAGGUAGUUGGGGGGGUAAAGGCUCACCAAGCCAACGAUCUGUAGCUGGUCUGAGAGGACGACCAGCCACACUGGGGCUGAGCAACGGCCCAGACACCUACGGGCGGCAGCGGUGGGGAAUUUUGGACAAUGGGCGCGAGCCUGAUCCAGCAAUGCCGCGUGCAGGAAGAAGGCCUUCGGGUUGUAAACUGCUUGUGUACGGAACGAAACGGUCCUGGUUAAUACCCGGGGCUAAUGACGGUACCGUAAGAAUAAGCACCGGCUAACUACGUGCCAGCCGCCGCCGUAACAC
rnacentral:rRNA from 1 species